GGAGGUUUAGCUCAGUUGGUUAGAGCCCCCGACUCAUAAUCGGUUGGUCAUAGGUUCGAGUCCUAUAACCUCCACCA
rnacentral:tRNA from 2 species